rnacentral:rRNA from 1 species
UACGAAGGGGGCAAGCGUUGUUCGGAAUUACUGGGCGUAAAGGGCGCGUAGGCGGCUUAUCAAGUCAGGCGUGAAAUUCCCGGGCUCAACCUGGGGGCUGCGCUUGAUACUGAUGAGCUUGAAUGCGGGAGAGGAUAGUGGAAUUCCCAGUGUAGAGGUGAAAUUCGUAGAUAUCGGAAGGAACAUCAGUGGCGAAAGCGGCUUCCUGGACCCCAUCUGACGCUGAGGCGCGAAAGCCAGGGGAGCGAACGGG